AUCCGCGAAAAUAGCACGUCCAAUGCACCAGUUCCCAAUGGAUCAUUGAAGUUGAGCAACGUUGCGCUUGGUUUGUAACCAGAUGGGUGACCGUCUGGGACAAUCACGUGCUUGCUGGCU
rnacentral:rRNA from 1 species